UUCUGAGACUUAAGAAGCAGACCUUCUGUCUGAGAAAGCUGGAGUUUAUUUACUGAAUUACCAGAAGACCCCUCCCUAAGUUACUGAAGCGUUAAACAGCUGCUGGGGGAGAAGAACUACCCGCCAAGUACAGACCUCUCUGGACUUUGGAGCUCUCUGCGGGCUGUGCAGAGCUCCGGGCUGCAAACUUCUCUGGACUGCGGAGCUAGCUACCUGGAAGCUGUGCAGGAUCUCAAGAAAGCAAUUUUAUCAAGAUUAGGGAAAACGACCAGAAACACCACAACAGCUGCUUACAACGGACCAACUGACGUUUCCAGUCACCCGCGGGUCAGCGCUGUCCCAGAACUCUGAGCAUGAAAUAAUCAAGGCAGCAGAGUGGCGUUAUUCUACUGCUGCCCGUGUAAGACCAAUUCUGAACUGAAAAGCAGAGCAGGGAUCCAGCUGUCAUCACCAUCUGUUAGACGCUAUGUGACAAGGCCCUUUUCGCAAUUAAAAAAAAAAGGAACUUGCCAAAUAUGACGG